rnacentral:lncRNA from 1 species
AGCCAAUUGACCCAGGAGAUCUCGGUGCUGAAGGAGCUCAAGGAGCAGCUGGAACAAGCCAAGAGCCACGGGGAGAAGGAGCUGCCACAGUGGUUGCGUGAGGACGAGCGUUUCCGCCUGCUGCUGAGGAUGCUGGAGAAGCGGCAGAUGGACCGAGCGGAGCACAAGGGUGAGCUUCAGACAGACAAGAUGAUGAGGGCAGCUGCCAAGGAUGUGCACAGGCUCCGAGGCCAGAGCUGUAAGGAACCCCCAGAAGUUCAGUCUUUCAGGGAGAAGAUGGCAUUUUUCACCCGGCCUCGGAUGAAUAUCCCAGCUCUCUCUGCAGAUGACGUCUAAUCGCCAGAAAAGUAUUUCCUUUGUUCCACUGACCAGGCUGUGAACAUUGACUGUGGCUAAAGUUAUUUAUGUGGUGUUAUAUGAAGGUACUGAGUCACAAGUCCUCUAGUGCUCUUGUUGGUUUGAAGAUGAACCGACUUUUUAGUUUGGGUCCUACUGUUGUUAUUAAAAACAGAACAAAAACAAAACACACACACACAC